AUUUCAUUUUGCCGGCCAGCAAAAUUUUGGCUCUUCUCAUCUCUCUCGGCAAACUAUCUCUCAAAGCUCUCUGCCAAAAUUUUCCUUUCCCCACAAAGUUUUUUCUGCUGAAUCUCUCCACAAUCAAACUACCUUUGCUUCCCUAUUGAAGGUAAGAACUAUAUAUUAGUUGGCAUGGUUCACAAGCCCAAUUAAUUAUAAUAGAUGCAGAGCUAAUCAAAGAAUUACUAACCAACAGAGAAGGCGCUUACCAGAAAAUGGAUAUGGAAGGCAUUGCAAAGAAAUUAUCAAAUUAAUAGGUGAGCCGCUUAUAACAAAUGAGGGGAAAAAAUGGGCAAAAGUACACAAACUGGCUAACCACUCAUUCCUUGCAGAGAGCCUAAAGAGCAAGGUACCAGAAAUGAUUGCUAGUGUCGAGGAGUUGCUGGAAAGCAAAGUCUGUAAUUAAGAAGAAGUAUGGCCAAGAUGCAACAAAUGUUGGUGAUGAGGGUGACAUUGCUCUAAUAUCCAGGAGAACAAGGAAGGUCUUGAAUUGCUUAAAACAGCUAUUGCUAAAGCUGGUUACACUGGUAAAGUAAGUAUUGGAAUGGAUGUUUAUACUGGUUACACUGUUCUUGAAUGCUAUGGGUAUAUGUUUUGCUGGUGAAAAUGGAGCAGAUGUCAAAGGCGGAUGUUUGUAUGGAAGCAGGCUGCAUCCAAGCUUAGGGGUGUACAAGUUUUUACUUACACUGAGCUUGAGAUUGCAACAAACAAAUUUAGUGCAGCAAAUGUGAUAGGAAAUGGAGGGUAUGGGGUAGUGUAUAGAGGGAUUUUGAGUGAUGGCACUGUGGCUGCAAUUAAGAUGUUGCACAGAGAAGGGAAACAAUGAGGAACGUGCCUUUCGGUUAGAGGUUGUGAUUGGGAUGGAUGUGGCUGCUUCUGAGUUUUACG